UUGUUUGGAAAACUGUAGUGAUUUCUUUCAUGACUGAUGCAUCAGGGACAAAACAAUCAAUGUUUUCACUGGCUUCACAUGUCAGAUCAAAAUGUAACUCCUUGGUUGUGUUCAUGCUCAAAAGAUGCCAGACCAUCAUCUGAUUAAUAGGCAAUAGCUGUAUUAAAUCUGAGGAUCUGCCACAUAAUUUAAUUUUAAAAGUGGAAAAUGAAUUCAGUAAAAAGAUCAUAUAGUAUUAGUUGGCACCCAGGCCUAUCUUGUUUGCCAGCAACUGCUAAAGGAACAGAUGUAGUGUUUGUGAGAGGGAGAAAUGAGAGAACAUCAGAACUCAUAGGGAAUUUUUGGAAAAUCUGUACAACUAUUUGGUUUGUGUGAUGUCUUGUCUCAUGGAAAUUCCAGGCAUGGGAUGGGAAUGAUGUGCUGCCUGCUAGUGAGUAGCCAUAUCAUGUACAAUGGUAUGUAAUUUGUCAAAGCCUUCCACCAUGUACAUGUUCAUAACUACACUGAUACAGCAGUGGAACCUUACUUCCCUGAAGUCCUGACUAGAAAAAGUUGUUUGAAUCUCAUGCAAAAGCACCAAGUCAGCUCAAGCAAGAAUAUUUUGAGUGAAAUCCUCCUGAGGAAAUGUAGCUGUAACAAGACAGUCCUUGGCUGAAAGUAUUAGUGGAGAGUUAGGUCUUCCGGAGGCUGCAGCUGUCCUUGACGGCCUUCUCACAGGUAUGACAGAGUGAGACAAAUCCCUGUAACAAAGACAGCAGCUUCUAAGGCUCAGGGCCACAGGUAGCAUUUGAUUUCUAGCUCUAAUGUAGGCUUAGGUGGUUUUGAACAAGAUACGUGAGGUGCCCAGCUGUGCUCUAUGGGACUGCAAAUGCCUGAAUUUUAAGGUGUCUGAUAUUAGAUCUGAAAAAUAGCAUGAAGAACCAAAAAUAUCAGUCAGAUGUCUGAAUCCAUAUCCUGAAAUCCCUGCUCAGCUGCUACCUAGCAUUGGAGACCACUAAAUCUGAGGCUUGAUUUAUCAAUUUUUACCUUGUUUGCAAAAUCUUGAAGUGUUGGGCCUUUUUCUCACCCAGAAGGUUCUCCAAGUUCUUGAAGCAACGCAGCUCACGUCUUCUUUCACAGCCUGUGCCCAGGGACAGAGGGAUCCGGUAUGGGGGAGCCUCACACCACAGUGGCUGCUGCCAGAAGGUACACGACUUCAGAUGCUGAACAGGAACUUCUUUAAAGUGUCAUUUGCACUGUCCUUUUAUUUCAGAAUUUCACACCUGAGCCAGAAAUAGGCUGAUGUAAAAUGCAUCUAGGAGGACGUGAAUUGUGAUGAGUUUUUUGUUCUCAGCUAGCUGCUCUGAGCAGUGGGAUUUCUGCAGUGAAACUUCCUCAUUAUUAUCUCUUUGUGGUGCUCCAGAUCUCUUCCAGCAAGAGCACUCAUGAAAGUCCCCACCUCACAAAAAUCUGGAAGUGGUGGAUGGGAAUUUAAAUCCUACUCUAUCCCCAGGCAUAAGAGGAGAUGAAAUUGCAGUCUUUCUCCAUCCUGAAACUAUGCUCAAAUCUCCAUGAUACUGGUAUAAAGGAGGACCACUCACCACUAUCACCUCGUCAAAUUUUCUUUAUAGAGGAAGGUGGUCUCAUUUUAAUUUGCAAGAGUGGCUACCAUGUACUUUCUUCCCAAGAGCAUGGCACUGUGGUAGGAGGCAGAUCCUGUUAGCUGAGAUCAAGGUGCUCAAGCACUAGAAGGGAGUGUUGAGGGGGAGCAGCAGGUUUGUAGAAUAAGAGAAAAUCUGUAAUAGUGUGAGGGACCUUUGGAAAUUAUCCUUCUCCAAGCAUGAGCAGGUUGCUCAAGGGAACAUUCAGUCAGAUUCCAUGGAUGGAAAAUUAUGAUCCCUGUGGGUAACCUUCCGCCUAUUACAGACUUAUUUUUUUAUGUUUUACUUCUGUCAGGAACUUGUUCAUCCAUACAAGCCUCCUGCCACCUUUGCCUCUUGCAUGGAGGAAUGUACCUUUAUGGAGCUUGCAGGCAGUGAUCUUUGAAGAUCAGCCAGCCCCUUCUCUCCAGGACUGUGUCCAUGGGAUCCUUCCAAGCAGGGUACUGAACAGGCAAGAGUUCUGCUCUUCUGAAGCCCAGGUUGAAAUCCUGCUACUUGCCAGGCUCUUCUUAGUGGUGCCCAGCAACAGAACAGGGGGCAGUGGGCACAAACUGGACCAUAGGAAGCUCUGUACAAACAUGAGGUAAAAUUUCCUUACUGUGAGGGUUACCGAGCACUGGAACAGGCUGCGCAGAGUGGUGGUAGAGUCUCCUUCUCUGGAGAUAUUCAAAAGCUGCCUGGAUGCUUUCCUGUGUAACCUACUGUAGAGAACCUUCUCACCCUUGCUGAAAUCUGUUUUCUCUGAAGAUCCGCCAGCCUGGUUCUGGGCUCAGCUGUGCACUGUGGUGGGGUCAAUGGAGCCAGCAGGAACUGACUGACAGUCACAGGGCAGCCCCGUUCUCUGCCUAUGGAAGCCCUGCAGUCCCCUGGCCAACACUGGACCUGCAGGUACCCCAUAUACUCUGUCAGCCUGUGCUGCAUGUGCUGUGAGAUUCCAGGGACAUUUGCGCCAGUAGAACAGGUGACCAUGCCCUGUAGCACAUCACCACCAUUGCUGAGUAUCUGUAUGCUGUCCUCUGGCCCCUUUUGUGCAAACUGUUGCAUUUGUUGGCCUCACAUUGCCUGCUAUUCACUAGGCCUAGCAGUUAUGUAGGCCUCUCCACAGUACUAGCUCAAAAGGGUGCUUGACUGCCCUGAUCAGGAAGCCAGAUGUAAACAGAGUACUCAAAGCACCCUUUGCACAUGAAAAGCCAGCAGAGCUCAUUAGAACCAUACAGAGCUUGCUAGAAAUUCGUGUCAAACAGUCAAUAAGAGUCAUUUGUCUCACUGAGUCAUUAUGUUACCAAGGACUGUGGUCAGUCCCUGUGCUGGAACCUGAAUUGUUGCUUGUGUCAAGAUUAUCAAUGGAAAUAAACUGGGUCUGUUAAGAAUUGAGUUCAUAAAACCAUACAGUCAUUUGAGUUGGAAGGGACCCUUAAAUUUCAUCUCGUCCAACUCCUCUGCAAUGAUCAGGGACACCUACAGCUCAGUCAGGUUGCUCAGAGCCCCAUGUUUCCAAGGAUGGGGCAUCCACCAAGUUAGCUCAGGAUCAUAUAGAAGUCUGGGAUCUAGUUUUUAAUUGCUCCCGGGCUUCUUCCAUCUUGUCCUAUUCAGAACAAGCAUUCUGGGGCAAACUCCACUCUUUUUGUAUAGGUCUCAAGGAGUUGUUUACAUAGUAUUAAUCAAUUCAGUCACCAGAGGGCAGAGGAAAUGAAAUGAGGAUGUUCUGGACCAUGAAAUAGAUGACUCACAACCCUGGAAAAGGUUUAAUUGAGCAAAACAGGAACACAAGUGUACCUGGCUCACCACUGAUAUUGGACAGAGGAAGAUCAGACUCCAGAGGGAAAGAUCAAGACAGAAAAAUAUGUGCUGCGCUUAUGUAAAUAAUAUUUAUGGAGAAUAGGCCUUCAUGUACAGCUCUCACAGAAGGCUCACUUAGAAACCAGCUGGCAUCACUAUCCUUUGUAAUGUUUCCACUAAAGCCACUGGGCAUGUCCAGCGUGGGAACGGUACUCUGAUGGGCAGCUCAGCACUGGAUACACAGUGGGGAGCAUAUCCAUGAGACCCAAAGGUGCUCCUGUGUCUCUAUAGUAUCUGCUCGAGUUAAUUUUUCAAGCAGCAAAAGUGUCUGCAAGUACUGGGUAUGCACACAUGCCUUUGUGAGAUUGUUUGAAGGUGUUGGACCAGAUCUUCCAUGCUCUGGAAGCCUAGGGUUCAGCCACCUUAAACAUCAGAGAACCAGACUUUUGUUGAUGUUAUCAAAAUUAUUACAAACUAUAGACACAAUUAAAAGGCAUAGGCAACUAUUAACAAAGUGGUUUCUGUUUCUCUUAAUAAUAAAUAGUCUGUUCUUUGAAUGGUUCUGCAUUUGCCCACCUCCAAUAGGACCUAACAUAAGUUUAUGUUUUCAUAGCCCCUGUAUGCCCAGAUGCAUCUCAGAUCCCCAAGUCUAAUGAGUUCCCAUCACAUGAAUUAAUUAUACUAUGAAGCACAGGAAAGAAAGCCAUUAAAUCUUAGAUUAAGUUAUUAAAUUAAAAUAUUACUGCAGAAAUCCAAUAGCAGCUUGCACCCUGUGGGAAGUCACUCUGCAGGGAAAAAUACCAUUUGCAGGUGAGGUGGCACUCAGAGCACCUUACCAUAUUCAUAGGGAGGAGGUGCUGACCCCUGCAGAGGAGCUGCAGUUAUAAUGAGCCUCUUAUCCAGGAAAAAAAGCUGUUAUCCCAAUGCAUUUGUGAUGGAAGCUGAGGUACUGAAUAAGAUGCUAGCAGGAUAUAAAUAAUGAGGUGGUACAUGGCUGCGCGUUGGAAAUGAGCCACUAGAGCAUGAUAAUGGCAAAGGCACAAGCUUAACUUACGUUGUGCAGUUCCUCUGGGAAAGGGGGUGGGAGGAAAAUGCCAUGGGGAAAGCUGAUUCCUCUACUUGUAGUGAGUAACAUAACUCCGUAACCCUGCUUGUCUUUGUUCAGAGCCAGAACAAGCAGAGUUGAAUUACUGCAGAGGUCUAACCUUAGGUGCAAGGCUAGAUUCCAGCUGAAUGUGCUCCCAAAGUCUAAACAUACAAAGGGCAUUUCUGGCUUCACAUAACUAAACCCAUGCUGAGAAAGGGAAGAAGCUGCUGAAUGCAUGGGGCUAGAUUCAUCAAAGAGUUUAAGCACUGUCCCACUGAAAAGGGAUUUGAACUUACGCAUGACUGCUCUAGUAGCCUAUCAGAGUAUAUGCUAUUUGACAUUUUAUGGUGGUCUUCUGUCACAAUGCAAGGCAGAGGUUACAUCUGGAAUUAAACAUUUUAAUAUAACACAGAUCAUAAGAGUCUCACAGUACAGCCUAGUAAACACCCAAGAUGCGGUUUUAAAGGGAGCAACAUGAUUUUGUAACCACCAAAGCCAACGAUUUUCUAGAGGAUUCUGCUCUGCCCUCUCUGCUGCAAAACUUACGGCAAGAAUUCCUAAUAGGAACAUCAGUCAGUUUAUUCACCAUUGCACAGCAGUGUGUUUUGUUACAAGUUUGCCUAAAUAUCAUUCACUGAGGUAAAGGAGUUGCAAAGAAAAAUGGCACAAUUCUGAAUUUCCAGUUUUUGUAACUCUAUACAGCCUGAUUUAGAGAUGCUGAGAUGCUCUGUUGCUAUGCUUAAAUGAAAAAGAAUUAAGUCAACUUCUCUGCUAACAGAGGAAAAUAUUCACUAAUAAUCACAUUUUAUUUUGAAGCAAAUUAUUCUGUUGCCUUGCCUGGCCCUUCAUAAGCUAAAUUUAAAGCCCAAUGAAAUCAAAAGACUUUGCACUGACAGAUGAUGGGGGAUGCCUUGUGUGUAGUUUAUCACUGGUGAACUACAGCAGAGAAAUUGGGUGACUUGUUUGAAGUCCAAUGGCAGUGAAUGACUCAUAACCACUCCUAGCUGCAUGACAUGGCAUUCACCCCUGAACAGAUUGGGUUCAUGACAACUCUGAGCUUCUUGCUAAGAUUCUUUGAGGUUCUUUGAAGUCUCUGAUGAGGUUGUCAGCUCCAUCCUGACCACAACAAAAUGGGACAACCCUUCAUAACCUGUGUGAAAAUAUAGAUAUGCCUUGCAGUCAUAUUUAUAAACUAUAGCUCUCCAUAAUGAGCGUAAUACAUAUAAUGUUUCAAUUGUCCCAUAAUGUGCCAUAAUGAGAAAUGAAGAGCUGGGGCUGGGGGCAGCCCUGGCCAUCACUGGCCCCAACAUCCUGACUUGGAUCUUUCUAGGAAUCUACUUAGAAAGCAAAAGCAUUGCUUUACCUCCCAUCCAAAGGGCUCCCAGGCACUGAGGAAUUAAAAAAAAACCUCUGUUCUCCGUUCCGUUUUGGCUUCUUCUAGAUUCAGAGCUAAUUGCUCUGACCAGCAGUUUCCCUCAGGGAGUCAUUAUUAGGUCCCCUGUAGCCUUCUUUUUCAGUCCUCUCAUCUCCCCUGAGCUUAUGGUUUCUGCAGUGCAGAGCUCCGCAGGCUUUCCUGUUACCUCAGCUUGUUCCACUCGCUCUCAGAGUUAAGCCGCAGCUCAGUAGCUCCGAUGGAGCUAUUGGAACAAUAGCACUGUUGCUUGAAUAAAAGCAUAAUGAAAAAUGGUCCUUCAAAGAUCAAAUAGGUAAUGGGAAUGCCUUACUCUAUAUACUUUUACCAGGUUUACAAGGAUACCAUGAAUACUUCUUCACUGUUUUCUAGGGCUCCUUCCUUCACCCAUAUGGGAUGUGAAUCAUCAGCACACGAUCCCUCUCCUGAGUUAAGCUGGUGUUGCUGUAAUGCUUCAAGACUUUUCCCUACCACUUUCCUGAACCAUGUCAGAUCAAGACAGGAUAUUUUCUCAAUAACAGAAGUUUCUGAAGUCUAGGAAACUGUAAUUUCUUCACUGAAAGCAAUUCUUACAAGUUCUCGUCUGACCCAUUUAGCCAGGGAUAUAACUGUUAAAACCUGCAGGAGAUACAUGAAUUCAUAACAUUGAUGUGCGGCCUGUGUAUGCUCCAGAUGCCCACAGCAUCUGUCCCUUUGCCAACUGAAUGACCUUGAAUAAUCCAUGACACUGCAACUGUCACAGGUGCUCUCCCGUGAUGAAUAUUUUUAGCUGACUUUUUAAAGGUAUGAAGCUCAGCAGCUCUGUUGGAAUAGGUGCUGUUGUGUGUGUGCUCUGCCUGGGAUUUCAGCUCUGCUUCUGGGAGUUGGCUAAGUGAGGAUUACCGCACAGCACAAACACUCUAGCUCAGUGCUGAACUAGGCACUCAGCCCUUGUAGUCUUGCAGGUUCCUCAGCACAGAUAUCAUUCCUUGGGCACUGGGAUCAGUGCCAGAAUGCUGGUCCUCCACCCCUUCCUGCGUGAAACUAGAUGUGUAGGAGAUACUCCUUUGUAUUCCCGGAAUUUAUCAUAGUUCAUGUGACCAUGGAGAACAAUUUAAGAGAGAUUCUUUUCUCACAAGAAAUUGUCAUUGAGAUUAUAAACAGCUCUUGAUGAUAGCUGCAGAAAUGUGUCAAGGGGAAAAAAAAACAGAUAAUAACAUUGCAAAACAGCUGUGUCUCCUGCUUCAGGACCUUCAAAGCAUAAGAUAUUCCGCUUUCUUGGCCUUUUAGACAGCUUUGUUCCAAAGAUGGUAAUCAGCCGGAAGUUUUCUGCAAGCUUUUGAUGGUCUAUUAAAUAAUGUUCUUGUCUUUUAACAGUUGACAUCUCAACGUAUUAAACUUGUCAACACUUUUGGCCUAGUAACAUGCAAGUUUACAUUACACAGAAAAUUUUUCAUUUUCUAACACUAAUGACGCCAACUGAAUUUGGUAGUUUUGGUUGCAGGAGAGUCAUUUGUGAGCCUAGUGUUAGGCAAGCAAAUGAUACACUUUUUCUGACAAUGUUUCCAACCACAAUCUGUGAAAAAAGGCAGACUUCUCUCAGAAUUAAUCCAAUAAGCCAGAUCUCUGUAGACUUCAACCAAAAACACUGCCUAGUUUGCUAGACCUCAACUUCCUACACAAAUAAAAUCCAUUGCUCAGAGAUGAUGACUGUUUACUCAGGCAUUGCUUCUAAAAAGGUGUUGUUUAGGAUCACACCUAUUCAUAAAAUCUUAAACAAAUGACAAAAAGCAAAGGCAAUGGCAGGGGAUACUGGAGUUUGACAACAAGAUUCACAAAUGAAGUUUGCCAAGGCCAAGUUUUUCUCUCCCCCAAUAUAAUGAGAUCAGAGACCUUCAUAUUCUCUUCUGAAUCUGGAAUUUAUGCAUACAAAUGGCCUUUGUGUCUUCUAGGUGAUUUCUGUUUCCUAUUACAGCACUCUGCUUCCCCCAGAACAAUAUGGAACAAUUCUAGCUUGUCUGCUAAUUAAGUGUAAAGUUGUCUGAAUUUCUUUAUUAAUACAAAUUUUAAUGUGCUCAUUGAAUGGAAUAUAUUAUGUUUCCACUUGCUUCUGAGCUUACCAGCAAGAUUUUGCUAUAUUUGUACUAUAAUCUCUUCCGCUCCUCUACAGAUGAGAAGGAAAGACCCGGCCUAUUGCUGAUACAGAGCAUCAGUUUGUCAAGCAUUUUGUGCAUCCCCCGGGAUUAGUGGAGCUAUGAAAUUGUAUCAUUAUCGUUGCUUGCUGCAGUACUGAACCACAAGGCAGGGCCUGAGAGAAUAUGCAUGCAUGUUUGUGCAAUGACAUUUUUAAGCCACGGUUCGCCUUUACAUUUCUUUAUAUCCUGCAUACUAAUCCAGCCCCAAAGUAUUCCAGGCUGGUGCCCAGAACCAGAAUUUCCUUCUGUUUCAAACAAGCUGUUUAAGCUAUUUCACCACAGCUCAUUAUUUACAGAUAGGUGAACUGUUGCUUUUUGCUUAGACACAUUUACAACUUCUGAAGGGAGAGGCAGACUUGCAGACUGCUGUGAAGAGAUUUGGAUUUCAACCUUUGUCUCCACGGCAUACCUUUGAAAAACAGACCUAUUGUGGACACAGGAUUUGGCUCUGCAAGCACUAAAAUGCACGUGUAAAGUGCAAUAGCAGCCGCAAAGUCAUGGUUUUGCAAUAUCUGGGCCUUCUUUAAGAAUGCAAACCAGCCUGGAAGCACUUUAUUUUAGGCAGAUUUGUUCUUCACUUUGUUACCGCAAAACAAACUUCAGAGCUAAAUGAGCACCAACCUGACGGGAAAGUCAUACACGCAAGAGAGAGAGAAGAGUGCUUGAAAGAACCUCCUUUGACAUGCUGCAGAAGGUACUAUUUUCUUGGAAUCCUCUAUGUUAAAAAAAAAAAAAAAAAGCUUCUAAACUAAAGGCCUAUAAAUGAACAAAUAAGUGAUAAGAGCUGGUCUCAGCAUUUCCUGUUGUUCCAGCUCAGCCACGCCAGGCCAUUGUGCUCCUGUUGGUCCCUAAGGGCUGUGCCAGAGCCAGCACUGCCAACACUUGCAGCUCCCUGACAGGGUGCGACUGUGCUUUUGGACACGGCCCUAAGCAAACAGCAGUGGCAAACUUUUCCAGCCAGCAAGGGAAGUCACUGUGACGCAGCAAGCCAUGCUUCCAGCAAAACCUGGCCAGGAGGGAUUAACUCUUCUCAAGGCAAAAGAUUCUCUUUGCUGGCCAGAUCUGAGCGGAGGGCUCAUUUACCCACUCCUCAUGCACUCCUUCCUCUUCCAUUGGCUUGGUAACGAGAAAAGCAAGGAGUUCAAUGCACUCAUAUCGUGUGGUUGUGGAGGGUGUGGGAGGUUCCAGUCCCUGGCAUACCUUACCAGAAGCAUGAAGGUUAAAGCAAUGUUAACAUUUAAAGUGUAAGGAAGCAGAGUGAGGAAGCACCUUCCCAGCAGCCUGGCAGCUCUGUGCACAUCCUGUAAACUGCUUACAGGUUGAAGCUGUGGCAGCCCAGAGUGUUAUUUUUAAAUCUGAAAAUAGGGUGACUGUUUACAUCGCAUCACAAGAUUUAAUUUUAGAGAGAAGUUCUUGAAAUUAUACAAAACUUGUGGUUCUCAUUAUCAGGUUGGAUAUUAGGAAAAAUUUCUUCUCGGAAAUAGUGGUGAGGCAUUGGCACAGGCUGCCCAGGGUAUUGGUGGAGUCACCGUCCCUGGAGGCAUUCAGGAGACGUGGAGGUGUGGCACUGAGGGGCAUGGUUCAGUGCGCAAGGUGGGGAUGUGUUGAUGGUUGGACUAGAGGAUCUUUUCCAGCCUUAAUGAUUCCAUGAUUCUGUGAUUAAUCUAUAAUAUGUAGCUCCUGAAAAACAAGAACUGUGAUGAUAAUAACUGGUGUGCAAUGCUAGCACUGGAAAUAGAGCUCUUGAAUGAUAAAAAGAUGUAUUGAUAUUUUCCAAAAAAAAAAGUGUUUUGAAUUUGUGGAUGGUUUUGUCCAUAUUUUUCAAGGAGGGAAAUUACAGUCCUUUCCCUGCCACUCUCAGGACCGCUAUCAUGGGAUUUUGCAGUUAGGUUUCUGUGUUUUAAUAAAGGAGCACAUCUACAAAUGGAUUGAAAUACAUAUUAUAGAUUUUAAAGUGUUAUGUUAACAAAAAUGUUUUUCAAAUUUGAGGAAAGAAUGAUGAAACUCAAUUGCAAGAAUUUAAAUUGCAUUCAUUGCUCUUUAUUCUUUUGGCUGCAAACAAUACAUCCUACUGAGGUGCAUGCAAAGAAACUAAGAGAGAAUCUGCCACUUUCCCUGGUAUCUAAAAGCAAAAUGAAUGAAGUUUGCAAUGUGGACACUGAUCUCAAUCAGCCGGUUUUGCAUUAGACAAAUUUUCAGGUCUGAUAUCCUUUUAGACUCUGUGAUAACUAGUACAAACGGUUAGAUAGCAAACACAGCAUUUCUCAGAUUGUGCUGAGUGGGAUUCCCACUGAAGCACUGAAGUAUACCUCAACAUCUCUGAUGGAAAACAAAUACACAGCUGGGCAAACAUGUGCGGCACAUUCUAGUUAAGGCAAAAUGGAAGCUACUUUAAAGGAAAGGGUACUUGGAAGAUACAAUUUGGUAGCAGCGCUCACAAUUUCAUUGCCACAUGUCAAGGGCUCUGCAGUGACAUAAACUAAGUCCAGUGCAAUCGUGAAGUUGAGAUUUACUUCCUUUCAGACACAGGUGUAUCUGCAAAUUGGAAAGCAGAACUUGCAGCAAAUAAGUGGCAGCACUGUACACAGAAAUAAAGUUUUGGUUUGGGGAAAUGUCAUGCUUGUUCUCCACAGCAGGAAAGUGGAUGCAUGGAAGUGUCACAACGGAUAAUGUGAGAAGCAUUUUGACAUUUACACAUAAAAAUCACUUAUGUGUUGAGAUUAAGAAGCAAUUCCAACAUCCAGAUUUAGGAGAAAUUGGCUGUCUCAGUUGAGCAUUAACAGUCACAAAAUUCAACACAAUUUAUCUGGCUAAAACUCAACGGAAUUGAAACACUCAUCAAUAGAUACUUUCAGAAACAUACCAGCUCCUGAACAGCAAGCUGAGUGCUAUGAAUAAGGAGCAGAGAGGGAAGCACUUCCUUCAGUGUAUUGCCAUGGACUCCUGUGCCUGUAGGGAGCCCAGAAAUGUUCUGCCCAGCUCCCAGGAUCAGGCCAGUGGAGCAGCUGAAAACCCCUGUUUUCAUGUGUCAGUCACUGAGCGCACUUACGUACGCUUUUACUGUUCUUUUAAGGAUAAUUACUACUGCAAUAGCUUUAUCAGCAGGUUUAUUGCUAUUGGUUUAGGCAAUGUUUUAUCAAUGCAGUCUGCCUAUGUUAAAUAAUAACAUCUGUUGACAGAACUGGGGAAAGGUUCUUCCCUAUUGAAAAAGCUAACAUCUCAGAUGCGGGCUUUAAAUUAGGAGUAGACAAUAUUAAUAAUAGCUGAAGUAGAAAGAGCACUUAGAAGGUAUUACGUUGAUCUGCCUUUACAGUGCUGCCUGUCUACCUGGGGUUUGUCAAAGUGCACAAAAAUGAGGUGGACUGGCUGCAGUUGAAAAGGAAGGUCCGGGUGGUGUGGAUUCACUUAUUUGACUUGGAUUUGCGUUGAGCCACAGCCAUGACAACCAUUUUAGUGGCAACAUCACAAAGUGUUCUGUGUGGAUCUUAAAUGUUUGUCCCCGAGAUUAAAGGCAGGAAAUCUUGAAUGACAAGUUUUAAACUGAACUGGAAUAUUUUUCAUUCCAAUCAACAAAGACAGUAUAAAGCAUAUUGUUUUACACUGCAGAAAGGCUGCCUGUAUUUUUAUUUAUUCAUUACUUUCUACUAACAAAAAGGAUUGUUGGCUUCCAGAGAAAUGUCUGUACUCAUGCACAGGAGCUCUACGUACAUGUUAGAAAAUGUAAAACUGAAAGUGAUUGGACACUGAUUGGUAAUAAAGGUGAAAGUACACAGUUCAUUUUCGUUGCUCACAAUAGAACAAAGCAAACAAUCAGGAUUAAAAGCCAAGUUAAAUUCCAAAUAACUUUCAGUGUAAUAAGUUACAGUGGUAUUAGUAGCACAAGCUAGGAAAUUUAUUGCUAAAAAUAGCAUUUUUUCAGUCUCUCUGGGUUUCCUCUGUAGUUAGUAAAGAGGGGCGAGCACAUCCAGAGGGCAUUUCAGCUCUUAGGAGAACCAAAUUAUUUUCUUAUAUGUACUCAGUCUCUUUUUUUCUUCUGUAAAAAUAUGUGUGUAUACACAGACAUAUAGGAACACACACACACAAGAAAAAAUUUGUGUGUAUACACAAAUAUGUCUCUGUGUGUGCAUAGGACACACACACAUGUAUAUGUGCUCAUGUAUGCACAGUCCCCAGCAAGCCGCAGUCUUAAGUCAGACUCCGAUGCACUUAAGUGUGAUAAAUCCAGGCAGGGGAGUUUGGCAGAGCUAAUUCUAAUUCUGCUCUUUCACUGUUUUUACAAUUAUGUUGGAAAAAGGAGUUUCUUCUGACUUACACUGGUUUACAUCAUCUCAGAGUAAUGCUUUGAGAAUAAAGCAUACCAGAAGAAAAGAUUGCAUGGCUCUAAAUAGAAGCUGGUGCUCAAAUUGCUGAUGCAUGUUUUAGCGCUCAGAAUGUCAUACCUGGGGAACAAGCAGUCACAUCUUCAGCUCAUGUGGAUGAGAACAGCUCCCAAGACCUCAGCCCUCUCCAGACUGAGCCUUCCUUGACCAGCAUUUGGAUCUCCCCACAUGUUCCCUUGGGACCACCACGCAUGGGUUUGUCCAUGCAAAGCCCUUAGAGCAGACAGAUGUCUCUCAAGGCUGGGCUGUGCCAGGCACAUCAGCCCUCAGAGGCAGUUGGCUGCCUUUCAGCUCUGCUCUGAGCACACCCGGGAGUGAGACUCUACUGUUACCAAUGCAAAAUGCAUGAACUUCGCUGAGAUAAGUGCCCUCUGCUCAGUGCUCAGGGAAUGAGGCUUGGCCUCCCACAUGCAGGAGAACAGUAUUUUGGCUCUUGUUUGGAGGUCACUGCAGGAAUGGUGCCAGCAUGAAAAUAUAAAUCUCACUGAAAACUGGUUGCAGACAAGUUUGGGCAGGAGCUACUGCAUCUCUCAGUGUGGUAAACACAAAGUAUUUUACCUUGUAGUUAUGUUACGAUUAUCUUAGUGACUGUUACCACUGAGUUCCAUGAUCUUUGAAGAUCACCAUAUAUAACUAAACAAGUAAACUCAGUGUCUGCAGAAAUACUAUGCACAUCAACAACACUGGGCUUAUCUUGCUGCCAAAGCUGAUUCAGUUACCUAAAGCAGAUCACAGGUUUUAAGGAAAUUCCCAAUGGUGGCUGAGAUUCUUAAGUAAAAGCUCUGCAGCUGCACAACAUUUUAUCCCAGUAACACUGGUUACAAUUUCAUCAGCGUGAUUGCUCUCUUCCCUUCAUGUUCUAAUCAUAGAUCCAAAGCAGGCUGACUGAAAGAGAGCACCAAAUUUUAGGUGACUCACACACUCCUGAAGUGUCAGCUCCACACCUUCAGCACGCUCCCCAGUUACCAUGUGGCAGCCAGAGAUUUCUGAGCAGCUCUGACUGUGUUUGCUGUCACUGAGCGACUGUUAACACGGAGGGAAAACACAAGAAAGCCAUAGCUGUGCUGGCCAAACAGCACCCUUGUCCUUUCAUACAGCUGUGACUGUUGGGUCUCAGGGACUGUGUCCAUUGAGGGGGUCACCUAUGGAAUGAAGCGUGUGAAGAUUCCAGUAUUUCUUCCAGUCACAGCUGCAGCUCUCCCCACCCUUUUAAUGCACUCUGACAGAGGAAGGCAGCUCUAAGUUACUCAGAAGUUCAUGAGUACAGCAACUCAAGACCAUCCACGUCUGUAUGAAUGAUAAAGUGCAAAUCUGAAAACAUAGCAUGGUGGAUGCGUUAAAUGGGAUGAGGAAGUCUGCCUGUGCAAAUGGAGUUCUUACUGCUGGGGUACCAUAUGAAUCCAGAAUUUUCAGGUAAAACAGGCACCUCACUACCAGUUCAAACCAGGGAUGAAGUCACAAGCAGCGGUCCUCUUCCCGUGUCAUCUAUACCACAGCAUGGUUAAUUGCAUCCAUUUAUCACCACAGGUUCAUCAACACCUGAAGGAAGACUUCCCUCUGGUACAGUUGCAUAAGAUAACUUUAAACCAAUGCCUAUAAUACUGGAGUUCACUAUAUCUAGGAGAAUGCAAGAAAUUAUCACUCAGAUCAACUCAGAGAAGAUUUGCAUGGAGCACUGAUCUCACAGGAAAACUUCGGUUCACUCUUUUAUGGUGACCAGGCAUCAAUGACAGCUAGGAAAAGGAAGCAAAGAAACAUCAAAUACAGCAUCUAAACUCUUAAAGCCAGGGCAGCGAAGUUAUCCGUAAAGCUCAGACAUAUCAGGCAGACAUGAGAAAAAUGUGCUUUCACAUUUGAAAUGGGGAGAAGAGGUGAUGGUCUCAACAACCUCCGUGACCUGUGCAAGCCCAGAAAGAUCUCUGCUGCCAUGGACCAGCCACAGCAGUUAACAUGAGCAGUGCCCUCAGAUUUAUGUGCAUAAGGAGUUUUUGAACAAGAUGGCACAUUUUGGUUUUCCAGUAUAUUUUUUAGAGCUGAAAAUGAUAAAUGAAACCCUGGCAACAAAACUAGUUUGUUAGUUUUGUUCAAUCCAAAGCACAAAACAGUUCCUUAAGUUAUGAUGGGAAUAGGUGUACCCCAACACUGAUGUGAGAGAAGAUAAGAAUGUGCUCGGAUUUACUCAUGCAGAUGCAGAAGGGAAAUAUUAAGGGAACAAAACUCCACCUUCUUUCUUUGAGCUUUUCCUUGUUUUUUGCUGUAUAGUUUCAAGGCUUAGUGAUGAAUAAGCUGCAUGAAAAAAAGCUGGCCUCACAUUUUUCAGAUUGCAUCUGCAAUUAAAACAGGAUAGGGCCUAUUCCCUGGCCCCAGCAAGAAGUGUAUAUGGUAUCAAAGCAUUUAUACCCAUACAGACAAAUCCAUACUCCACGUUCCUGGUCUCAGCAGAAGGUGGUCAAGCCCAUAUCUGCUUUUCCAUGUUGGUCCCAUAGCAUGCCAGAGCAAUCUCUGGAAGAGCACUCGUUAGUGUGGGCCAAACCAGACUAAGGAGCAUGCUGACUGUUUAACAAUAUGGCUAUCUGCAGGACAGAACACAGCCCUGUGCCAUGAUGAUGUUCAGUUCAUGACCACUGACAUAGCUUUAUAGCCUCUUGAAGCUGUGCUCAUAUCACAGGGAAAUCAGGCUGGAGUUCGUUCACAACAUGGUUUGUUAGUCCUCUGCACGAUGACCAUGGGCCAGGGCCAGAAGAAUGGAGAACGCAGGACAUGUCUUCAGAGAAACAUCCUGAGGGUGUGGGGAGCUGAUACCUGACAGCAAGAUUGUAGCUGAGUCCUACACUGAAACAUCCUGGAGCUGUCAUCAAAGCUAUCAGGAUAAGCAGAUGGCCAUAAACGGUAGCAUAACUACGCACUGUGUUUUCUAAAAGCACUGAUCAUGCCUGGAUGUGGACAGCAUGAAGUGGAUGUGGUCGACAUGAAGAAGACUUUUUUUUUGUACUUCAUCAGAAGAUGGAAAGUUGUCUAAAUCAAACGUAGUGAUGUAUUUGUCUGUAAGACUGAUUUUUGCUUUGGGCAAAGUUUUGAUUUGAUUUAAAUCCCUGAUUUAAAGAAUCUGCAAUGGCUGCCUCAAAGGGCAGUAUCAGUGUUUAUUACACUUCUGCAGCCCCUUUCAGCAGUGCUGGAGAAGGGAGCUGAAUCAGUCUGUUCACUGAGAGUGUCUAUUCCUUCUUUCCAGGCAACCAAAAAAUGUUGUGUGACUGUGGCAAAAGGAGGAAGAAUGGGCUUCCAAUUUAGGUUAUUGUCUGGGAACACAUAGAACAAAAAACGUUACCACAACCACAAAACAGAAAACAUGUUUUAGGUAACGCAGAUAACAUCCUGCAACAAACCAGAAGCCUAUUUCCUAAGGUACCAUUGGUGCCAUUGCAUUAUUUGCAAAUAAAAUGGUCCCAGCUGCUUAAGACGGUACCCGAUUUGCAUGUGCCACUGCUUACAUAACUGUCAGCAUAUCUGCAAGACAAGGUCGCUUGAAUGCAUGGCAUUUCACAUUGCAGUCACUGUUUCUUUUAGGAAACGUUCUGUUCCUGAAAACGCAAAGAACUCCGUUUAAUGAUUAACCACCAAAAUGGAUUCUCACUUUAUAAUCGAGGGAAAGGGCAAACCACUGUAACCAGUUUACUUUCAGAACCACUCAUUUUACGAAAAAAAGAAUAUAAUCACCACAGUCUCUAAUAUUGCGAUAGAAAAUGCAGGCUGGAAUAUUUUAUAGAAAGCCUCUGGUGUGUUAGAAGUUCUCCUGCCCUCUGUAUCUCAGGGUGUAUCACUUCCUACAAAACAGCAGUACUUUGCCUCCAGCAACUCCCUUCACAGCUCUUUCAGUACUGGGAAACCUUGCCUGGUGAGAUUGGUUUUCUCCCCCUAGGACAUUUUGAUAUAGAAGUGCUGUUUUAUGCAUCUUUAUUUCAAUAAAUAAAGUUGAUUGUUGCUGUGUUUGC